GGGACCUGCGCUCCGCGCUGAGCCCACGCCCGGCCCCGCGCCAGUGAGCGCUUCGCGCGGCGGAAAGCCGCUUCUGCUGCUGCAGCCUCCUGGGAAGCCCGUGCGGUGAUGUCAGGGCUGCAACGCCGAGUCGCGGCUGUAAAUAGCCAGAGACGGAAUUAAAGAGAGCUCGGGGGCUCAGCCUGCAGCGGGGCGCUGAGUUCGAUAAAGUUGCGGGACGCUGGGGAAGUGAUUGAUCUUAAAUGAAUGGCACGGCCUUCACAGAAUUCCUAGCGUCUGCUCUCCAGUCUGGAGACUGCAGGCUGCCUGAGACUUGCAGGGUUGUUUUUCAGGCUGGCUGAGGGCGUAGGAUGUUUUGUAACCACAGAGCCUCGCCCCCGCACCCUGGAGAUCGGGCCUGACAGCGCAAGAUGUUGGACUGGGAAAUGCCCAAAUCUCAGUAUUUAGAAUCUGUCCUGGGGCCUGGUGUAAUGGUGACAUCUGUAAUCCCAGCACUCAGGAGGCUGAGGCAGGAGGAUCACUGCGAGUUGGAGGCCAGCCUGGGCUAUAAAAUGGCAGAGCUGGAGGACUCCUCAGCAGCCAGGGAAGAUCAUUAGAGAACACAUGAAAGCGGACUGUUCUGUUGCUUGCAGUAAUCCAAGGAUCUAUGCUCACUCUCAAAGGGAGCAGAAAAAGAGGUCUUGACCCAUAUGAGGCCGAGAUUGGCAAGUGGGAGACACCUACAGAGCAAGGACAUUGGAAUGGAAAAUCUACCAUUAGGACAGGUGACUGGUGAAGGCAUCCAGUGAAGACAAAAGGCGUCCGGUGAGAGUCUAUAGUCAGAGGCCUCACCAUGGCUGUGCUAUCGGGUUUAAAAUUGCCUUCUCUUCAAUAGACCCAUACUAUCCAAGAUGAGGACUAAUGUGAAAAAAUUGUUACUUGUCUAAAAUAA